rnacentral:rRNA from 1 species
GAUCAUGGCUCAGGAUGAACGCUAGCGACAGGCUUAACACAUGCAAGUCGAGGGGCAGCGGGGAGUAGCAAUACUUCGCCGGCGACCGGCGCACGGGUGAGUAACACGUGUGCAACCAACCCCGUACCGGGAGAUAACCCGCGGGAAACGUGGACUAACAUCCCAUAAUACUGGAGGAUCGCAUGAUCUUUCAUUUAAAAAUUCCGGUGGUACGGGACGGGCACGCGCGACAUUAGGUAGUUGGCGGGGUAACGGCCCACCAAG